CUCAACUCUGCGAAUCGCUUCAAUCUUGGUUAUCUCAAAGUGUUAUCGUCUCCAAUCGUACUCUCAACCUCUCACGAUCUCUCGUUUGUAACAGAAACGGUAAAGAAGAAGAAUACAAGAGACACACACGAUUUAACCAGUUCGGGAGCUCGGAAUGAGCUACGACCUACGUCUGGUGCCAGAAGAUCCUGGCAAUUCACUAUGAUCUCUGGUGGUUACAAUCUCUUGAGCUUAACAAGCGUAAUAGCCCAGCUCAACGAGAAAGACGUUAUAACGAUACAAAGACACAAGACUCGUUUGAGUUGUUAUAUAUCUACUCAAACCCUCCUUCUGAUACAGAGUCUCUAUCUUCCCAUCGGUUAACCUUUUCACUAAUAACCCGGUUAACCACAAACCAGCUUGGUUUUGAGUCAGCUUCUCAACAAACUCCACCUUGAAUCAACAACCAAGAUCACAUCAUAGCAAUUGCACUGCGAAUCCUUACACUGGCAAACACAUGAGUCUUUCAAGCUUCUGUGACGUUCAACAGCCUCAAGGCCUCGUUGAACUUAACCACUGGAAUCACCUUAGUCAACAUGUCUGCAGGGUUUCUCGAGCUUGGUAUCUUCAACACUUCAACUUCACCAGACUCAACCCAAUCUCUGAUGAAAUGGUAUUUCGACGCAAAAUGUUUGGUCCUCUCAUGAUACACCUUAUUCUUAGAUAAGCAUAUCGCGCUUUGAGAGUCACACCACACCGCAAACUUCCUCUGCUCAUAACCCAACUCCUCCAGAAUCCCUCUAAUCCAUAUACCUUCUUUCACAGCUUCAGUCAAGGCAAUGUACUCCGCUUCAGUAGUUGAUAGAGCUACUAUCGGCUGCAAGCAUGAUCUCCAACUUACAGUAUUGCCUCCAACUCGAAACACAUACCCUGUUAUCGACCUGCUUCGGUCUCGAUCCGCAGCAUAGUCAGAAUCACUGAAUCCCUCUACAUCAAACUCCUCGUUCUUCUUAUAUGUGAUGCACGUCUUUGACGCGCCCUUGAUGUAUCGCAAAAGCCAUUUCACAGCUUCCCAGUGUAUCUCACCCGGUCUACUCAUAUAUCUGCUGACCAGACCAAUUCCAUAUGCAAGAUCAGGUCUGCUUCCCACCAUUGCAUACAUAAUGCUACCAACUGCACUUGAGUAUGGUACUACUUCGGGAUUCACCAUCUCAGACUCAUCUUCUAUAGCAGCGAGCUUGAAAUGAGCGCCAACCGGAGUGUUAGAGCUUCUACAAUCACUCAUGUUGAACUUCUUCAACACCUUAAGCAAAUAAUCUGACUGAGACAACUUAAGAGUGCCUUUCUCUCUGUUUCUGAAGAUGUCCAUCCCUAAGAUUCUUCUCGCACUUCCUAAAUCCUUCAUUUCAAACUCAGAACCCAAUAGGUUUUUCAGCUUAGUGAUCUCACUCAUAUCCUUUGCCGCGAGCAACAUAUCAUCUACAUAUAGCAGGAGAUACACAAACUUUUUCUCUGCAACCUCCUUUACAUAGACACACUGAUCUUGGACACUUCUCUUGAAGUUCUGUUCUCUCAUGAAUGUGUCAAACCGCUUGUUCCAUUGUCGUGGAGACUGCUUUAAGCCAUAUAGAGAUUUUCUCAAAAGGCAGACUUUAUUAUCUCCACCUUCUUCGAAACCAUCAGGCUGCUCCAUGAAGAUUUCUUCAUCUAACUUCCCAUGGAGGAAAGCUGUCUUUACGUCCAUUUGCUCCAGUUCGAGAUUCUCAUGAACCACUAAUGACAGCAUGAUUCGAAUAGACACAUGUCUCACAACUGGUGAGAACACUUCCUGAUAGUCUAUUCCCUCUCGUUGUGAAUAACCCUUCGCAACUACUCUGCCUUUAUAUCUCUUUGGCUCUCCACCUGGGACUCCAGGCUUUAUUUUGAACAACCAACGGCAACCAAUCACUUUUCUGUCCUUAGGUCUGUCCACAAUAUCCCAUGUCUGGUUCUUCUCCAACGAAGUCAUUUCAUCAACCGCUGCAUCAUUCCACUUCUCCUUAUCUGCACUCCUCAUGGCUUCGUAGUAGUCUUUUGGUUCAUCUACUUCCAUUUCUUCAAAUACAGCCAAUGCAAAAGCCACUUCAGAGUCUUCCGUCAGAUGAUCUGGUGGGGAAGCUUCUUUAUAUCGAAUUGGAGGCACAAUUACUCGUCUCUUUCUGUCUCUAGCUAGCUGAUAAUUAGCUAGAUCAUUGUGUUCCUCCUCCUCUUCAGUUUCUUCCUCCUCUUGUACAGAGACAGGCUCCUCCUCUUCUCUGACUCCCCCUGCUUUACUGCUGGUAGAAGCCUCAUUAUCAUCAGCAACGGCUCUCUCUUCAGCUACUAACUGUCCUUUUCCUUUAUCAAUAACCAGCUCAACCUGAGUGCUUGCCUUUACACCUGACUGACCCAUCUCCUGAGAAGUCUUCUUACCAAUCUCCUUGAACAUCAUCUGCUCCUGAAACUGCACAUUCCUACUGAUCACACACUGCUUCUGAUCAAUCAACCAAACCUUGUAGCCCUUGACCCCUGGAGGGUAACCGAUGAAAACACCCUUCAAUGCUCUCGGUUUCAACUUCCCUUGAUCUGUGUGAACAUACACAACAGACCCAAAAGUCCUCAAAUGUUUAUAUCCCGGCUUCUUGUUUAGCCAUAACUCUUCUGGUAUGUUGUUGUCGAUGGCUGAUGAUGGAGUCCUAUUAAUCAGGUAAGAUGCAGUAGCAGCCGCUUCUGCCCAGAACAUUUCACCCAGACCAGACUGACUAAGCAUACAUCUGACCUUCUCCAUCACAGUGCGGUUCAUACGUUCAGCAACGCCAUUCUGUUGCGGCGUAUACGUGCACGUCCUAUGUCUCUCAAUCCCAUUCUUAUUGCAGAAUGAGUCGAACUGAGUGUUACAAAACUCAAGCCCGUUAUCAGUUCUGAGACACUUCACUUUCUGUCCAGACUGAUUCUCAACUAGGACCUUCCAUUCACAAAACUUCCCAAAAGCUUCAUCUUUGGUCUUCAAGAAAUAAAGCCACACUUUAUGUGAGCAGUCAUCAAUGAUUGACAAGAAGUAAUGGCACUUCGAGAUCGAUGGGUGUACAUUAGGUGAACCCCAUAAGUCAGCAUGGACAUAGCCGAGAACCUUCUCUGUGUCAUGCUUUCCGACUGAGAAACUCACCUUCUUAGCCUUUCCCAUCACACAACUUUCGCAGAAAACCUGAGCACCAACUUCUUUCUGAUCCAGAAUACCCUUACUGACCAGUAUCUUGAGGUUCUUCUCACUGAUGUGACCAAGCCGGUUGUGCCACAAGCUAGAUCCCUGGUUGCUUGACUGCGUUUGGUGUGCCUCCUCAACAACCGUCUCUCCAUCCAAGAUAUAUAGACCCUGUUUCAGAAUACCUCUCAUGCCCAGUCUACCAUUUUUGUGAAACGUCACUUUUCCAUCUCCACCACUGUGCUUGAAGCCCAACUUAUCCAGUGUUCCAGUAGAGAUCAGGUUUCUCCUCAGGUUUGGUACAUAACGGACGUUAUGCAUUACCGUUACUGAACCGCCAUGAGUGUUAAUUCUUACAGAGCCAAUUCCUUUAGCCUCCACGGUGUGAUUAUCUCCUAGUAGGAUUUGGUUUCCAUCAAGCUCAUUGAAAGUAUCAAACCAAUCCCUCCUGGACGUCAUAUGAUAGGUGCAUCCAGAAUCAAUCACCCAGUUAUCUCUUGGAUUCAAGUCAGACACAGCCAAGGCGUCUGAAUACUGCAACUUCUCCACUAUGACAGCAGCUUCACCUUGGUCUUCUCUGUCAAACUUCUUCUUACGAGAGUAACAGUCCUUCCUCAUGUGUCCUUCUUUCUUGCAGUACCAACACACCAUUCGUGACUUUGAGUUAGACCUACUCCGACCAUUCUUCUUAGAGUCUCCUCUCCAUUCAGCUCUUCCUCUCCCCUGAUGGUGAUCCUUCAUGACCAAUCCUUCACCCGCCUCUUUACCAUUCCAACCGCCGUCUUUGAGUUCUCUCUCCUUAUCACGAGCUGCUGCAAUCACUGCAUCUAGUGUGAUAGUAUCUUUUGCGUACUUCAGAGUCUCUUUGAGCUGAUUGUAUCGAGAUGGAAGAGAGCACAGUAAUAAGAUUGCCUGCACCUCAUCUGUAAUAUUGACUCCAACACUGCUCAGAUCAGAUACAAGCUUCAAGAAUUCGUCAAUAUUUGCGUCAAUUGAAACAGAAUCCACCAUCUUGAAGUUGUAGAACUUCAACUGUAAGAAGAUCCUACUCGGGAGAGACUUUGACAUAUACAGCUUCUCGAGCAGCGUCCACAUCGCCGCUGCAGUAGUGCAGUGACUGAUCUUUCUUAGCACAUGAUCGCCAACAUUCAGCACGAUCAGGUUCAUAGCCUUCUCAGACUUCACUAUCUUCUCUGGAUCUUGAGUCACAGAGAUCUCCUUGGACGUUUCAUCGAUCGCUUGAUCAUCGUCAUCUUUCUUCUCGAUCUUGGGUGGAUCCUUCAGGAGUUUAUCAUCUUUCAAAAUCUCCUUCAAUCCCAGGUAACCAAGAUGCGCAAGCAUCCUUAUCUUCCACAACAUGAAAUCUCCAGAUCCGUCGAAUCGCUCGACUUCGAUUCGCGUCUUCGCCAUGUCGACCUGCAUGCUCUGAUACCAAUUGUUAAAUCCUCAACUCUGCGAAUCGCUUCAAUCUUGGUUAUCUCAAAGUGUUAUCGUCUCCAAUCGUACUCUCAACCUCUCACGAUCUCUCGUUUGUAACAGAAACGGUAAAGAAGAAGAAUACAAGAGACACACACGAUUUAACCAGUUCGGGAGCUCGGAAUGAGCUACGACCUACGUCUGGUGCCAGAAGAUCCUGGCAAUUCACUAUGAUCUCUGGUGGUUACAAUCUCUUGAGCUUAACAAGCGUAAUAGCCCAGCUCAACGAGAAAGACGUUAUAACGAUACAAAGACACAAGACUCGUUUGAGUUGUUAUAUAUCUACUCAAACCCUCCUUCUGAUACAGAGUCUCUAUCUUCCCAUCGGUUAACCUUUUCACUAAUAACCCGGUUAACCACAAACCAGCUUGGUUUUGAGUCAGCUUCUCAACA
rnacentral:lncRNA from 1 species